rnacentral:tRNA from 1 species
GAGGGUAUAGCUCAGGGGUUGAGCACGUGCUUAGCAUGCACGAGGUCCUGGGUUCAAUCCCCAGUACCUCCA